rnacentral:rRNA from 1 species
GAUGAACGCUGGCGGCGUGCCUAAUACAUGCAAGUCGAGCGAACGGACGAGGAGCUUGCUCCUUUGACGUUAGCGGCGGACGGGUGAGUAACACGUGGAUAACCUACCUAUAAGACUGGGAUAACUUCGGGAAACCGGAGCUAAUACCGGAUAAUAUAUUGAACCGCAUGGUUCAAUAGUGAAAGACGGUUUUGCUGUCACUUAUAGAUGGAUCCGCGCCGCAUUAGCUAGUUGGUAAGGUAACGGCUUACCAAGGCAACGAUGCGUAGCCGACCUGAGAGGGUGAUCGGCCACACUGGAACUGAGACACGGUCCAGACUCCUACGGGAGGCAGCAGUAGGGAAUCUUCCGCAAUGGGCGAAAGCCUGACGGAGCAACGCCGCGUGAGUGAUGAAGGUCUUCGGAUCGUAAAACUCUGUUAUUAGGGAAGAACAAAUGUGUAAGUAACUAUGCACGUCUUGACGGUACCUAAUCAGAAGGCCACGGCUAACUACG